AUUGAACGCUGGCGGCAGGCCUAACACAUGCAAGUCGAACGGCAGCACGGGAGCAAUCCUGGUGGCGAGUGGCGAACGGGUGAGUAAUAUAUCGGAACGUGCCCAGUAGUGGGGGAUAACUGCUCGAAAGAGCAGCUAAUACCGCAUACGACCUGAGGGUGAAAGGGGGGGAUCGCAAGACCUCUCGCUAUUGGAGCGGCCGAUAUCAGAUUAGCUAGUUGGUGGGGUAAAGGCCUACCAAGGCAACGAUCUGUAGUUGGUCUGAGAGGACGACCAGCCACACUGGGACUGAGACACGGCCCAGACUCCUACGGGAGGCAGCAGUGGGGAAUUUUGGACAAUGGGCGCAAGCCUGAUCCAGCAAUGCCGCGUGCAGGAAGAAGGCCUUCGGGUUGUAAACUGCUUUUGUCAGGGAAGAAAUCCUCUAGGUUAAUACCCUUGGGGGGAUGACGGUACCUGAAGAAUAAGCACCGGCUAACUACGUGCCAGCAGCCGCAGUAAAAC
rnacentral:rRNA from 1 species